UGNCGCGUGCAGGAUGACUGCCCUAUGGGUUGUAAACNNNNUUUUAUANNNGGAAGAAACAUCUCUACGUGUAGAGACUUGACGGUACUGUAAGAAUAAGGAUCGGCUAACUCCGUGCCAGCAGCCGCGGUAAUACGGAGGAUCCAAGCGUUAUCCGGAAUCAUUGGGUUUAAAGGGUCCGUAGGUGGAUAAUUAAGUCAGAGGUGAAAGUUUGCAGCUCAACUGUAAAAUUGCCUUUGAUACUGGUUAUCUUGAAUCAUUAUGAAGUAGUUAGAAUAUGUAGUGUAGCGGUGAAAUGCAUAGAUAUUACAUAGAAUACCAAUUGCGAAGGCAGAUUACUAAUAAUGUAUUGACACUGAUGGACGAAAGCGUGGGGAGCGAACAGGAUUAGAUACCCUGGUAGUCCACUGCUGCCUCCCGUAG
rnacentral:rRNA from 1 species